CCCUAACCUCCCAACCUCCCAAACCUUGGACAACCUCCAUCAACUCUUCACCGGUGGCCCAGUGCCGAUCACCACCACCUUCUACCGCCAUCCGCCGCCCAUUUUUUAAACUACAAGUAAGUAAGCAUGGAAAAUCUGAUAUUAAUAAUUAUAGUGAUAAUAUAUAUUGUUGAUAUUGAUAUUUUUUUUUUAUGUAAUGAAAUUUAUGGAUAUGAAUCAUAUUGAUUGAUUGAGUUUAUGCUUGAUUGAGUUUAUGCUUGAAAUUUAUGGAUAUGAAUCAUAUUGAUAUUUUUUUUUAUGUAAUUAAAUUUAUGGAUAUGAAUCAUAGUGAUAAUCAUAUUAAUGUAGAUUGAUUGAGUUUAUGCUUGAUUGAUAAUAUGAAUUGAUUGGGUAUAUUAAAUAUUGAUUGCUAUUUGAUAUGAUAAUUUGGUAUAUUGAAUAUUGAUUGAUAUGAGUUUAGGGAGUAUAUUGAAUAUUGAGAGUGGGUUAUUGAAAUUUUCAUAUUCAUAUGAUAAUUUGGAUAAAAAUUAAUGAUUGAUUGAAUUAAUUGAUUUGUAGAUUUAUGGAACGAUUCUUUAAAAGAAAAUUAUCUACGGAUAGUUCUUCUCUGUCUAAUCCGGGUAGUUCAAAUGCAAGACCAAUUGAAGUAGAUGAGAUCUUAGCUAAUCUUCAAGCAGAUCCUGGACUAAGAACUCGAAUGGCGGAUUAUAGUCCUAAUAUUCGGGAUGAGAUCCGAAGAGCAUAUCUACAAAAGGGACCUUGUCAACCUAGAAGUUAUAAAUUCCCACAAACUAAUCAAUCAGGAAUUAAUAGACGCUUCAUUGCUCAUUGGUUUGAUAAUCAUGAUUGGUUGGAAUAUAGUAUUGCUAAAGAUGCUGCGUUUUGUCUUCAUUGUUAUCUCUUCAAAUCUAAUUUUGAUCAAGUGGGUGGUGAUGCAUUCACUGGGGUAGGCUUCAAUAAUUGGAAGAAGGCGAAAGAAAGAUUUAACCUUCAUAUUGGACCGGUUGGUAGUGUUCACAACCAAGCUAGAGAAGUUGCUUACAAUUUGAUGCAUCAAACUACACACAUUGAAACAAUUGUGAUCAAGCAAACAAGCCAAGCUCGCACGGCUUAUCGCACUUGCUUGAAUGCAUCACUUAAGUGCACUAGGUAUUUGUUGCGGCAAGGGCUUUCUUUUCUUGGUCAUGAUGAAAGUGCACAAUCAAGUAAUAAAGGGAAUUAUUUAGAGCUCUUGCAAUUUCUUGCGGAUCAUGAUGAAAAAGUUAAGGCCGUUGUGUUGGAAAAUGCUCCGGCAAAUUUAAAGUUAAUAGCUCCUUCAAUUCAAAAAGAUCUUGUCAAUUCUUGUGCCAAAGAAACCAUUGAUCUUAUCUUGAGUGAUGUAAAAGAUAGAUAUUUUUCAAUAAUGGUGGAUGAAGCACGUGAUGUUUCAAUAAAGGAGCAAAUGGC
rnacentral:lncRNA from 1 species